rnacentral:rRNA from 1 species
AAUAUUUCGCAAUGGAGGGAACUCUGACGUACCGACCCCGCGUGAGCGAUAAAGGUCAUCGGUUCGUACAGCUCUUUCCUUGGGGAAGAAGGGAGCCGUAAGGCCUCUUUACGAUACCCAGGAAGGAAGCCCCGCCUAACUACGUGCCAGCAGCCGCGGUAAUACGUAGGGGGCAAGCGUGGUCAGGAAUUAAUGGGGGUAAAGGGUGCGUAGGCGGCCCUUAAGUCAGAUGUGAAAGCCCACGGCUUAACCGUGGGACUGCAUUUGAAACUGGAGGGCUUGAGUGUCGGAGAGGGCAGUGGAAUUCCCAGUGUAGCGGUGGAAUGCGUAGAUAUUGGGAGGAACACCAGUGGCGAAGGCGACUGCCUGGACGAUAACAGACGCUGAGGCACGAAAGCUAGGGGAGCAAAC